rnacentral:rRNA from 1 species
UGCAAGUCGAGCGGUAACAGGGGUAGCUUGCUACCCGCUGACGAGCGGCGGACGGGUGAGUAAUGCAUAGGAAUCUGCCCGGUAGUGGGGGAUAACCUGGGGAAACCCAGGCUAAUACCGCAUACGUCCUACGGGAGAAAGGGGGCUYCGGCUCCCGCUAUUGGAUGAGCCUAUGUCGGAUUAGCUAGUUGGUGAGGUAAAGGCUCACCAAGGCAACGAUCCGUAGCUGGUCUGAGAGGAUGAUCAGCCACAUCGGGACUGAGACACGGCCCGAACUCCUACGGGAGGCAGCAGUGGGGAAUAUUGGACAAUGGGGGCAACCCUGAUCCAGCCAUGCCGCGUGUGUGAAGAAGGCCCUCGGGUUGUAAAGCACUUUCAGCGAGGAAGAACGCCUAGCGGUUAAUACCCGUUAGGAAAGACAUCACUCGCAGAAGAAGCACCGGCUAACUCCGUGCCAGCAGCCGCGGUAAUACGGAGGGUGCAAGCGUUAAUCGGAAUUACUGGGCGUAAAGCGCGCGUAGGUGGCUUGAUAAGCCGGUUGUGAAAGCCCCGGGCUCAACCUGGGAACGGCAUCCGGAACUGUCAGGCUAGAGUACAGGAGAGGAAGGUAGAAUUCCCGGUGUAGCGGUGAAAUGCGUAGAGAUCGGGAGGAAUACCAGUGGCGAAGGCGGCCUUCUGGACUGAUACUGACACUGAGGUGCGAAAGCGUGGGUAGCAAACAGGAUUAGAUACCCUGGUAGUCCACGCCGUAAACGAUGUCGACCAGCCGUUGGGUGCCUAGAGCACUUUGUGGCGAAGUUAACGCGAUAAGUCGACCGCCUGGGGAGUACGGCCGCAAGGUUAAAACUCAAAUGAAUUGACGGGGGCCCGCACAAGCGGUGGAGCAUGUGGUUUAAUUCGAUGCAACGCGAAGAACCUUACCUACCCUUGACAUCUACAGAAGCCGGAAGAGAUUCUGGUGUGCCUUCGGGAACUGUAAGACAGGUGCUGCAUGGCUGUCGUCAGCUCGUGUUGUGAAAUGUUGGGUUAAGUCCCGUA